rnacentral:rRNA from 1 species
UGUUUCGGCUAGGGGGCCAUCCCGGCUUACCAACCCGAUGCAAACUGCGAAUACCGGAGAAUGUUAUCACGGGAGACACACGGCGGGUGCUAACGUCCGUCGUGAAGAGGGAAACAACCCAGACCGCCAGCUAAGGUCCCAAAGUCAUGGUUAAGUGGGAAACGAUGUGGGAAGGCCCAGACAGCCAGGAUGUUGGCUUAGAAGCAGCCAUCAUUUAAAGAAAGCGUAAUAGCUCACUGGUCGAGUCGGCCUGCGCGGAAGAUGUAACGGGGCUAAACCAUGCACCGAAGCUGCGGCAGCGACACUCAGGUGUUGUUGGGUAGGGGAGCGUUCUGUAAGCCUGCGAAGGUGGCCUGUGAGGGUUGCUGGAGGUAUCAGAAGUGCGAAUGCUGACAUAAGUAACGAUAAAGCGGGUGAAAAGCCCGCUCGCCGGAAGACCAAGGGUUCCUGUCCAACGUUAAUCGGGGCAGGGUGAGUCGACCCCUAAGGCGAGGCCGAAAGGCGUAGUCGAUGGGAAACGGGUUAAUAUUCCCGUACUUGGUGUUACUGCGAAGGGGGGACGGAGAAGGCUAUGUUGGCCGGGCGACGGUUGUCCCGGUUUAAGCGUGUAGGUGUGUGUUCCAGGUAAAUCCGGUUCACUUUAACACUGAGGCGUGAUGACGAGGCACUACGGUGCUGAAGCAACAAAUGCCCUGCUUCCAGGAAAAGCCUCUAAGCAUCAGGUAACAUCAAAUCGUACCCCAAACCGACACAGGUGGUCAGGUAGAGAAUACCAAGGCGCUUGAGAGAACUCGGGUGAAGGAACUAGGCAAAAUGGUGCCGUAACUUCGGGAGAAGGCACGCUGACACGUAGGUGAAGUGAUUUACUCAUGGAGCUGAAGUCAGUCGAAGAUACCAGCUGGCUGCAACUGUUUAUUAAAAACACAGCACUGUGCAAACACGAAAGUGGACGUAUACGGUGUGACGCCUGCCCGGUGCCGGAAGGUUAAUUGAUGGGGUCAGCGCAAGCGAAGCUCCUGAUCGAAGCCCCGGUAAACGGCGGCCGUAACUAUAACGGUCCUAAGGUAGCGAAAUUCCUUGUCGGGUAAGUUCCGACCUGCACGAAUGGCGUAAUGAUGGCCAGGCUGUCUCCACCCGAGACUCAGUGAAAUUGAACUCGCUGUGAAGAUGCAGUGUACCCGCGGCAAGACGGAAAGACCCCGUGAACCUUUACUAUAGCUUGACACUGAACAUUGAGCCUUGAUGUGUAGGAUAGGUGGGAGGCUUUGAAGUGUGGACGCCAGUCUGCAUGGAGCCGGCCUUGAAAUACCACCCUUUAAUGUUUGAUGUUCUAACGUGGACCCGUGAUCCGGGUUGCGGACAGUGUCUGGUGGGUAGUUUGACUGGGGCGGUCUCCUCCUAAAGAGUAACGGAGGAGCACGAAGGUUGGCUAAUCCUGGUCGGACAUCAGGAGGUUAGUGCAAUGGCAUAAGCCAGCUUGACUGCGAGCGUGACGGCGCGAGCAGGUGCGAAAGCAGGUCAUAGUGAUCCGGUGGUUCUGAAUGGAAGGGCCAUCGCUCAACGGAUAAAAGGUACUCCGGGGAUAACAGGCUGAUACCGCCCAAGAGUUCAUAUCGACGGCGGUGUUUGGCACCUCGAUGUCGGCUCAUCACAUCCUGGGGCUGAAGUAGGUCCCAAGGGUAUGGCUGUUCGCCAUUUAAAGUGGUACGCGAGCUGGGUUUAGAACGUCGUGAGACAGUUCGGUCCCUAUCUGCCGUGGGCGCUGGAGAACUGAGGGGGGCUGCUCCUAGUACGAGAGGACCGGAGUGGACGCAUCACUGGUGUUCGGGUUGUCAUGCCAAUGGCACUGCCCGGUAGCUAAAUGCGGAAGAGAUAAGUGCUGAAAGCAUCUAAGCACGAAACUUGCCCCGAGAUGAGUUCUCCCUGAGACUUUAGGUCUCCUGAAGGAACGUUGAAGACGACGACGUUGAUAGGCCGGGUGUGUAAGCGCAGCGAUGCGUUGAGCUAACCGGUACUAAUGAACCGUGAGGCUUAACCUU